GCGGUGGUUGGACGGCGCAGCCGCCAUGUUAAGUGCUGGCAUGCCGCCUCCACCGCGCCAGGGCAGCCAUUUUGGAUGAGGCGAUGCCGUGAGGGACGCCGCGGCCGUCAUGUUGAGUGUGGGAGGAAGAGGGCAGUGCCGGGUUGCGGUGUUUUCCGCGCCCUGGCGUUGGCAAGAUGAGGAGUUUUAAUUAUUUUUUUAUUAUCCCCCCCCGCUCCAAGGGGUGUUGUGUGGGCUGCGCCAGGGUAAGUUCCUUCAGCUUCGGAGUUUGCUUAGUCCGGGUGGAGGAGUCCCCGAGGCCUGUCUGCAUAGUGCGGAAACCUCGGCUCACAAGCACCAGGGUCUGCCAGAGCUACUGCCUGCAGAGUCGCCUGGUACCAGUUUGUCUCUGGAAAAAGAGAUUUGCAUCUGCCUACGCUUCCUAGGGAAGCCUCGUAUCAGAAAGGCAGCGUAAAGCUUAUGUUUACCUGGAAGGACAGAAGAUGAAGUGGUGAGGGAACAAAGAUCUCCCUAGCUAUCUUUACUGGAGUCAUAGUUACAAAAGUGAGAAGGCAUUAUGACAUCAGGCCUGUUCUCUUCUGAUUCACAAGCCAUUAAAAAUCCCAGAAUUGUCCUUGAACAAUCCUAAAUGCGUUAACUACAAAGAACCCUAUGUAGUUACACAAAAUGGAUGAAAAGACAGUUUUUUUAGGAACUCCUUUCUGAGUCUCGACCAUGCUUGCAGCUGAUUUGGAUCAUCUAAUGAACAUGCAGGCUCACAUUCUUGCCAUAUGAGGGCUGUCCAGUGGAUUAACCAGCUCAUGAAUGUCAAAACAGCCCCAUUUUACCUGCUGUGGUCCAGACCACAUCCUCAAAGAGGCAGAAGUUAAUGACUUCAGUGCGGCAAUGCUAUGUGUACACCUGGCCUCAACAUGUUUUUAUAAGUAACUCAUCAGCAGUGUGUGCAAAGUGUAUUUUAUUGUAUGUACAGUUUAACAUCGGCAAGGCUUGUUAGCAGAGGCAAUAGACAAACCAAUGUAGCUGGUGAAAACUGGCAAGCUGUUGGCAGUGCUGGUGUGUUCAGGUGUGAAGGAGAUACAAGAAACUUUAAGAUGAAUGCAGACUGAAAAAAAUCUGACUUCAGCCCUAAUUUAACUGUGUUACUCAGGCAAGCUGAGGGGGAAAAAACAGCUGACAAGUGUAGCAGCUCAGCAAGCUAUAGACAGCCAAGAUGAUAAACAGGCAGCAUGUUCUAUUUCCUCCCAGGUCUGACAAUACUUCUUUCUCCUAGAAGGUGGUACUGUGUGAGCACCUCAAUUGACAGCAGGAAAGCAAGAUUUCUAACUCUUUCAGUAGUAGAGCAAAGCUUUCCACUGUGAGUAAUUGUUUGGGGGUUUUUUUUGUUUUCUUUUUUCAAUUUAGAGCCUCUAAAUGCAGAAAGCCAGUAAGAAAAUAAAUCAAAAUCAUUUAAAGACAGUCCCUUGCCUUUAAGAGACAUGGCGGCUUGUGAGUUAUGUACAUUUAAGAUGAAAAUAGCUGAAGACCAUUAUUCUGUUUUAAUUAUCCAAUUUAUUUGUUGGACAAAGGUGAGCUGAUUUCCAUAGCCAUCCUCCUUCCUUGUGCGUCAGCUCCUUUCUGUGAUGACAGGAGUCAAGAGCCUCCAAACACCCUUGUAGAUCAGCUGGUAGGAAAUUCUGAGGAUAAACAACAGCCUGGUUCAUCAGCACAGGAGUGAAGAACUGCAUGUGGAAAAGGAAUGGGGCAGCCUUCCUACCAUAGCUGUGUCCGGAGCCGGCUGUCACUUCUC